CUUCAACUCAACAAACGAUCUAGGAUCCUACAACAUGCCAGCAAGUCAUAGAAACGACGAGAAGGGACCCCAACUGCCUGCCCCCUCACGGCCACUUCCUUCGCCAGACGUAAAGUCCAAGAGGGCAAUUAGCCAUAAAAUCUACCUCGUAGUGAGCACAAAUGGCAGGGGGCUUGGAGGGAAAUGAGAAGCAAGCUCUGGACUCCCACUGACUUCAAAUGGGAAAGCCCAGUAGGAACAAGAGGGAAGAAGAUAAUCUGCAAGACUAAACUUCUUUGCCUAAAAUGUGCUCUGCUUUUAAAAGGAUGUACAUGUCACCUUACAUUUACUAACUGGAAAUCUUCAUUAUAUGUUUAAAAAGAUAAGUCAAAAGGUAAUUCACAAAUAAAUAAUCUUAUUUUUCAA